rnacentral:rRNA from 1 species
UACGAAGGGGGCUAGCGUUAUUCGGAAUCACUGGGCUUAAAGAGUUCGUAGGCGGUCAGGAAAGUGGGGUGUGAAAGCCCUCGGCUUAACCGAGGAAUUGCGCUCCAAACUCCCUGACUUGAGGAGGCUAGAGGUAAGCGGAACUGAUGGUGGAGCGGUGAAAUGCGUUGAUAUCAUCAGGAACACCGGAGGCGAAGGCGGCUUACUGGGGCCUUUCUGACGCUGAGGAACGAAAGCUAGGGGAGCGAACGGG